rnacentral:lncRNA from 1 species
ACUUUUCCCUAGAAUUGAUUAAAUGGGCAUUCAAUAUUAUUUCAUUCCAAAAUUUUAUAGAAUGGAUGGAAUUAAAUAUUCUACAUUAUUUCAUUCUAAAAUUUAAUAAUGGAGCUGCAAUCUAUAUGUGCGUAGAAUUCUAUCGUUUACGUAUAUCUAACCUGCUAAACAGUUAGGGAUGUUUUUUUUUUUUUUUGUCACAAAACAGUUAGGGAUGUUAAUAUGAGCUUUUUUUGUUACUUUUUAUCUGGAUUAAAAUAGUGCCGAGCUAAAAUUACACUUGGGCUAACCCUCCCUCCUCUCUCCAAUAGCGAUCCUCCGUGUUGUGUCCGUCGAGCAAUCUCCUCAUCUCCUUGACAUCGAAUCUGUAGCUCUCAUCCCUUUAAUUUGGUUUGUGUGUUUGUUCUUAUUAGCUUGUUUGUGGGUUUGUUCUAUUACUCUAGUUUUGUUGACUUUAGCUCAUGAUUCAAGCAUAUGAUAUGUGUGUGAUAAUGAGCUGGAG